rnacentral:tRNA from 1 species
AGUAGAGUCAGCUAAUUAAGCUUUUGGGCCCAUACCCCAUCCAUGUUGGUUAAAACCCUUCCUCUACUA